rnacentral:rRNA from 1 species
GUGGGGAAUAUUGGACAAUGGGCGCAAGCCUGAUCCAGCCAUGCCGCGUGAGUGAUGAAGGCCUUAGGGUUGUAAAGCUCUUUUGUCCGGGAAGAUAAUGACUGUACCGGAAGAAUAAGCCCCGGCUAACUUCGUGCCAGCAGCCGCGGUAAUACGAAGGGGGCUAGCGUUGCUCGGAAUCACUGGGCGUAAAGGGCGCGUAGGCGGACUUUUAAGUCGGAGGUGAAAGCCCAGGGCUCAACCCUGGAAUAGCCUUCGAUACUGGGAGUCUUGAGUUCGGAAGAGGUUGGUGGAACUGCGAGUGUAGAGGUGAAAUUCGUAGAUAUUCGCAAGAACACCGGUGGCGAAGGCGGCCAACUGGUCCGAAACUGACGCUGAGGCGCGAAAGCGUGGGGAGCAAACAGGAUUAGAUACCCUGGUAGUCC